rnacentral:piRNA from 1 species
UGCUGUAUCCAGCGUGGGAUGC